rnacentral:rRNA from 1 species
AUGCAUAUCGAGAAGUUCGGGUUGUGCGGUGACGACGGCGGUGGAGCCCCGUCCUUAGGUUGCCGGAUAUGCUGCUUGAUGUCCUUGAUCGCUUCUAGGCCCGCGCAGGCAUGGCCUCCUCAUGUAGUUGUUUCAGCUUUUCAGCUGCUGCUUCACUGGAAGGCCUCCACUUCAUUGAAACAGGACAACUAUUCAAACUCUCGGAACAGCAUAGAUGGCAGCCAUCUACGGAAUCGUGGAUGUGAAGGUGGUACAGCAUAUGAGGCCCUGCUCUACAUCAAAAGGAAUGGAGGGAUUGUGUUUUCAGAGCACUACCCAUACAUAGGAAAGCAGUGUGUUCCCAAGAAAUUGACUGCGCCUGGCUUGAUGAUAGAUGACGCUGCGAACUACACAAGCAUUUCAGAACAUGUUCUGAAGUGGCAGGUGGCUCAGUAG